rnacentral:rRNA from 1 species
UACGGGGGGAGCAAGCGUUGUUCGGAUUUACUGGGCGUAAAGGGCGCGUAGGCGGCCACCGCAAGUCGGUUGUGAAAUCUCUGGCUUAACCCAGAAAGGUCAACCGAUACUGCGGGGCUAGAGUGCAGAAGGGGCAACUGGAAUUCUCGGUGUAGCGGUGAAAUGCGUAGAUAUCGCUUGGAACGCCGACGGUGAAAACAGGCUGCUGGGGUUGCGCCGACGCUGAGACACGAAAGCCAGGGGAGCAAACGGG